rnacentral:rRNA from 1 species
AUGCACGCACCGCCCGCUUGCCGCCGGCGUCUACGCCGCAGGAGCGAAGGACGGGGUGAUGCGUCCCGGCGGCCGUCCGCGUCGCCCGAUACCAGGAAUGGGGCGAGCCGUCGCGGCGGACGUGCGUUCGCGGCCAUCUCCCUAAGACCAGGAAUGGGGAAUGGGCCGAGGCGUUGCCACGGAGGCCGAUGUUCAAGGUGGUGCCGAUGCUCAACACUAGCACGGGCUGCAAGACGGCCAUGCCCGUGCGCCCCCGCCGCCGCAGUCUGUUGGUCGCAGUUUCUGGGGGGCUGGGCGAGGCGGGGAUGGAGGAGUACGGAGUGGGAUGGAUGGGGAAGGGGGGACCUGCUGGGCGAGGCCAUGUGCGCCGGCGCGCGGGUGGUCGUGGUGGAGGCGGCCGCCGCCUUCGUCCUCCACCUCCUCCUAACGCGCAUGCUCGCCGCGGGGUGGCGGUGGGGCCAUGCUCCUUGCCCUCGCGCACCCGUACUCGCACUCGGCAGCGGGGCCAUCCUUGCGGAGCACGCGUCGGCGGUGACGCUCUUCGGGCACCCCCGCAGCCGGCUGAGCCUGGCCAUCCAUGAGGACACGCGGGCGCCGACGGCGUUCCUCAUCGAGAUGCCCAUGCUGGCGGCGGCGCUGCACAGGGGAUGGCCACGGGACCUUGAAGCUGGCGCCGGAGAGCGACAGCCGCAGCGUGCGGCGACGGCUCCUGUCCAACGACGAGUGGCACGUGCUGCGGCUGCUGCGCGGCGUCUUCAUGGGCGCCGGGGUGCUGCUGCUGCCGCCUGUUGA